rnacentral:rRNA from 1 species
UUGAGGAAGUAAAAGUCGUAACAAGGUUUCCGUAGGUGAACCUGCGGAAGGAUCAUUAAAGAGUAAGGGUGCUCAGCGCCCGACCUCCAACCCUUUGUUGUUAAAACUACCUUGUUGCUUUGGCGGGACCGCUCGGUCUCGAGCCGCUGGGGAUUCGUCCCAGGCGAGCGCCCGCCAGAGUUAAACCAAACUCUUGUUAUUUAACCGGUCGUCUGAGUUAAAAUUUUGAAUAAAUCAAAACUUUCAACAACGGAUCUCUUGGUUCUCGCAUCGAUGAAGAACGCAGCGAAAUGCGAUAAGUAAUGUGAAUUGCAGAAUUCAGUGAAUCAUCGAAUCUUUGAACGCACAUUGCGCCCCUUGGUAUUCCGAGGGGCAUGCCUGUUCGAGCGUCAUUACACCACUCAAGCUAUGCUUGGUAUUGGGUGCCGUCCUUAGUUGGGCGCGCCUUAAAGACCUCGGCGAGGCCUCACCGGCUUUAGGCGUAGUAGAAUUUAUUCGAACGUCUGUCAAAGGAGAGGACUUCUGCCGACUGAAACCUUUUAUUUUUCUAGGUUGACCUCGGAUCAG